rnacentral:rRNA from 1 species
AAUGAACGUUGGCGGCGUGGAUUAGGCAUGCAAGUCGAGCGGGUGUAGUAAUACAUCAGCGGCGAAAGGGAGAGUAACGCGUAGUUACGUGCCCCGAGGUCCAGAAUAGCUACGGGAAACUGUUGGUAAUGCUGGAUAAUAUCUCCGGAUCAAAGGUGUGAUUCCGCCUCGGGAGCGGACUGCGUCCUACUAGCUAGUUGGCGGGGUAAUGGCCCACCAAGGCAACGAUGGGUAGCGGGUGUGAGAGCAUGACCCGUCUCACUGGGACUGAGCCACUGCCCAGACACCUACGGGUGGCUGCAGUCGAGAAUCUUCGGCAAUGAGCGCAAGCUUGACCGAGCGACGCCGCGUGCGGGAUGAAGGCCUUCGGGUUGUAAACCGCUUUCGGUUGGGAGGAAAUCGCUAGGGGUUCUCCCCUAGUGUUGACCUAUCUUCGGAAGAAGGACGGGCUAAGUUCGUGCCAGCCGCCGCUGUAAAAC